UGGCACGCAAUAUGUUUACUUGUUGGCUGCCUCUCCCAUCAGAUGUGAGCUACAACAGUCCCAGAUACGCAGUAGGUAAGCAGCAAGCAAACGUUGAAUGAAUGAGUGCAUGAACAGUCUGUCUUAGUGAAUCUCCAGAGAAUCCUCCCUAGGAUAGAGCGGGUGCUCCUGUUGGCCAAGAGCUUGGGUUUCGCGGACGGCGGCGGGAGGCAGCUACAACCCGAUGGGAUUUCACCGUGUCGGGAGCAGUGGUAACCAGCUCGAUCACGCAUCCCACCAGGAGGUACAGGUGCCACGUUGAACCAGCUCCUCACGUGGACGAGGAGGAAACAGAGGCCUACAGUGGGCACGGCACAGAGUCCGGCCAAGCCUCCCGCCUUGAAGCUCUUCCCAGCGUCCCACACUGUCCCCAUGUGAUCCCUACAGCUCUGGGAGGCUGAUCCAGAGCAAGAGGCCGUGACGCACGUCAUAGGUGAGAAAACCGACUCCGGGAGGCGAAGGUUUCGAACAGAUUCCCUGGCUCAGAAGCCUGGUCUUUGAAGUCAGACGAACCUGGGCUCACACACCUUAGUUUUUCACUCCCUAGCUCCACUUGGCACAUACUGGGCCUCAGUGGGCCUCAGUGUCCUCAUCUAUGAAAUGGGGCCAAUGAUACCUUACGUCACAGGGAGCCGGGAGGGGGAACUGACGUACGUUAUUGCUUAGAGCGGUUCCUGGCCCAUAGCGGCUAUGAGGAUGCCCGCCGUUCUCGUUAAUUUCGCCGUAUCUCACACUUGGGUGAAAUAUCCACGGAGGGAUGUGACGGAGCCUCCGCACCACCGCCUGGCUCCACCUCGCGGCCACCGGGCCCGUGGCCACCCCACCUCUGCCUGCGGCAGGGCCCGGAGCCUGGACAUGGCUGGCAGGACGCCAGCUCCCUUGGUAGGAUGCCCCACCACUCCCUCUGGGCCCCUCUAUUCUGGGAGCUGUAAUUUAGACGGCCUUCCCCGCCCCAAUUGCUAUAUCUAUGGCAGCAGUCACUGUGCCCGCGGGCCCUGCCCACCCCCUACGACGCUGCCUUUUCAUAAACAGCUCCCAGGCUGCCCUGUUAUCUUGGGUUCCUUGCCUCUGGGGAGGAGGCCCUGCCACCCUGAAGAUACAAAUAACCCCUCAAUCCUGGGGGAAGCUGGCCUGAUGUGGCCAGAGGCGGGAUGGAAGCCUCACCCACGGGAGCCCAAUAUAGCAGAUCUCAGAACCUGACCCUGAAGUCGGCCGAGGCGGGGUAGGGGGGACAGGAAAGAGAAGAGCCUGCCAUCAUCCUCCUGACACUCUGAGAACUGGGCUGGCCUGGGCUGUGGUCUCCCCAGAGGCCGCCCUGCUCAGCCACAGGGCCAUGAAAAGAAGGAGGGGCAGCCAGUAACAGCAACACAAGUGAUCUUUCUAAAACACAGAUGUGAUUGUGUCAGCCCCUCGCUCCAAACCUGCAGUGGUUCCCCAUGGCCCUUAGGGAGGAAGCUCACAAGACCCUCCGUCUUCUGCCCUUUCUACCACCUCUCGGACCUCAGGACCUUUGCACGAGCUCUCCCUCUUUAAAGUUUUCCUCUUUAUCCAACUCCUAUACAUCCUGCAGGUCUUGGCUUAGAAAGUACUUCUCAUGGAAUCUUCCCCUGACAUCACCACACAUAUACACGCCUCUGGUCCUCCCCCUUGAACUGGGUUGGAUGUCCCUCCCAUGUUCACCAGAAUCACUAGGCCCCUGCUGAUGCGCCUUGUCUGUCUCCCUAGCAGACUGUAAGCACUCCCAGGGCAGGAACUCUGUCUUGCUUAUAUUGUUCCUCCAGAACCAAGGCCAGUCCUGGUUCAUGAAAAAUUUGUUGAAAGAAUACAUGAGUAAGUAAAUAAACAAUUCCUCUGUCCCCUGGGAUGAGUGGGUCUCUUGGAGAAAGACUUGUUACUUUGUGCCCUUGAUUGUCCCAGGAAACCCCGUCUUCAGGCUCUGUCCCUUCGCCCUCUGUGUGUAACUUCAGGCUUCCUGCACUGAUCUGUCCAUCCUGAUCUGGAAAAUACGGUGGCUAUGGCCAUGGGCCUGCUUGUGGGGAGCCCUGAGGGAUUCUGAGGACGCAGAAAGGACAUGGCAGGCAUCCCUGGGUUGAGGAGGAGGAGGGCACAGAAAGAGGGAGUCCUCAGGCCAUGGGUCACUUAUAAGCAACAUCUGUCACUGAGAAGGAGGGCGAGUGUGCAUAUCAAAUGGGCGGUUUGGGGCACUUUCUGCUAUGACACGGAGACGCUUUGUAUUUUGCUUGUUUCAAAAAAGGAAAAUGGCAAAGAAUAACCUACAACUAUGGCGGUAGGAUUGGAGUUAGAGUUUUCUACCAGUCAGCCCCAUAAAUUAGUGGAGGGCCCCUGAAAUUUGAGUAUCUGUGUGUCCAAAUCGCAUUUCCUCCGUCAUUUCUCUUGUCCUGCGGUCUCGCUUGGAUUUGCCCCAGAUCACCCGCCCUGCCUGGAGGCCGGGAAGAUCUGCCUGUGCGGCCACUUCCACGUCCUGAGAACCUGAGACUUACUCCCAGGACCACAGCCAUGGAGCCAAGGUCAAGGGAGAGAAGAAGAGAGCAGUGGGGGCUCAGCAGGCCACCUCCCCACUCCUGGAGGCCGCAGGAUGAGAUGGCCCAAGACAGGCCUGGUGAGGACAAUCAAUCCAGUGGCAACAUAUACGAAGUUUGUGCCCUGGGCGGGUCACGUGAUCUAGACAUGCUCCCACCCCAGGGCCUUUGCACGUGCUGUUCGUGCUGCCUGAUUCUCUUUUCCCCUCAGAUUUCCAUAGCGCUCACUCUCUCGGGUCUUUGCUUAACUGACCCCUUCUCCGUCAGACUUUCCUUAGGCACCCUAUUUAAAUCGAAGCUCCCCCCCCCCACCACCAUUUCCCUGCUUUAUUUUUUUCCAUAGCACUUCCUGCUAUCUGACAUACUGGGUUCUUUCCCUCUCUCCCCCCGCCCUUCCUUCCUUCCUUCCACGGUCUGCCUCCUUUAAUAGAACGUGAGAACCAUAGCAAUUGUGUUUACAGGUGUAUUUCUGGUUCUCUAUUGCUGAGUCACGGAUCACCCCCAAAAGUCAGCAGCUGAAAACCAGCCCUUAGCUCUCCAAGUGCCCGCGAGCCAAGAGCCCCGAUGAGAUGGCAGAGUCAUCUCGAAGCCUGACUGGGGCUGGAAGGGCUGCGCCCAAACUCACUCAUGUGGUUGUCGUCGGGUCUGCCCUGGCUGCUGGCCCGAGGCUGAGUUGAGUUCCUCGCCUUGGGAGCGUCCCCCGUGGGGAAGCCUGGCGGCUGAGCGAGCGAUCCAGAAAGAGGGCAGAGCAAGAGAGUGAGAGAGAGCGCCUAAGAUGAAGCGUCGUCUGUCCUGACCCCGCACCGGCUGAGCCGGGCCUUGGCUUCUGCCCAGCGCCACUGGUCACUCAGACCGACUCUGGUACAGCGUGGGAGGCGCGGGCAUGACAGUGUGGACACCAGGGUGUGGGCUCAGCCCCAAAGGAUCAUAAACACCUGCUGCUCUCCUCGGCGCCGCACCCCCACCCCCACCUCUCCCCUGACGUGUGACCUUGGGCAAGUUCCUCGACGCGGAGGCCUGCCGUGGGGAUGUAAAAAGAUGAGGCGCUAGGCAUCACAGUGUCUGACACACACACGCCCUCAGUAUAUGACACCAUCGUGGGCAGCUGUUGCUAUUACGGGAGGGAAAAACCAAAGUAUCUUCCUGGAGGCAGGAGCCGUUUUAGAGCUGGGGGUGGUGCGCGCGUGCGUGCGUGCGUGCGUGUGUGUGUGUGUGUGUAUGUGUGUGUUUCUAUACGGUUCUCUUCCCAGAGCACUGGCUGAGAGCAGCUGUCCCA